UCGGGAAUUUUGGGCAAUGGGCGAAAGCCUGACCCAGCAACGCCGCGUGAAGGAUGAAAUCUUUCGGGAUGUAAACUUCGCAAGAAUGGGAAGAAUAAGUUUUGGCUAAUAUCCAAAAUGAUGACGGUACUAUUUGUAAGCUCCGGCUAACUCCGUGCCAGCAGCCGCGGUAAUACGGGGGGAGCAAGCGUUGUUCGGAUUUACUGGGCGUAAAGGGCGCGUAGGCGGCGUGACUAGUCACUUGUGAAAUCUCCGGGCUUAACUCGGAAAGGUCAAGUGAUACUGUCGUGCUAGAGUACAGAAGGGGCAACUGGAAUUCUCGGUGUAGCGGUGAAAUGCGUAGAUAUCGAGAGGAACACCUGCGGCGAAGGCGGGUUGCUGGGCUGAUACUGACGCUGAUGCGCGAAAGCCAGGGGAGCGAACGG
rnacentral:rRNA from 1 species